rnacentral:lncRNA from 10 species
GACUCAUCAAAAAGCAGGAGUCCUAAAUGUUUGCAUUGUGCAAGCAUCCUUAGCACAUUGCUAUAUAGGUGUUUAAGAGUGUCUUAAGAGAUAUUUGGAAAAUUGGUUGGGGAUUGUUUUUGUUGGCCUGGGAAUGUAUUAUUAUUUUUUCCCAGUUCACAUAAAGGGGUGAAGCCCUGAUGUCUGGAAAUUUGCUCUCCAAAGUGUUUCCAGGAAUUGACAAUAUUUGGAUAAUGAGGGGUGUCUGUACUUUCCUUGACCUAAACUGCUGGUAGAGGGGGAUAUUUUUGUAUGAUUGGGCAAGGUCAAACACAGAAUCAAAUCAGGAAGAACAGGGUCUGACAUGAUGAAUCCCUGCCUCGCCUUGCCAUUGACAAGAGACAGAAUAAAUGCCCCCAAAGAACCCUGCACCAUGAACGCUUGAUGGCAAUCCUGUCUCAGGGCUUUGCUGCUCGCUGUCAGGCAGCAGGUACACUACCCAGGGCCGUGGGGAAGGCGUCUUGCAGCCACACUGCAGCAGGAGGCUGGUCAUAUCUACGGGCUCCACCAAGCCAGGAUGCAGAGCUCGGCCCGUCUCAUGGCACAGGCUCGGGCUGCUCGGAGCUUAUAAUGAAUUAGAGCCACAGCUGAUUAUUUUCAAGGCUGGCGCUCACGCUGGGUGCCUGAGAAGACGAUGAAUCUGCAGUGCCGAAGUGCUGCCUGGCCUCUCAGGAACCAGCUGCAGCUGGGAUUCUCUGCAGCCUUCCCCGCAGCAAGCUGGGGUAGCCAUGAGCCCUGCCUGUCCAACGUGGGGUCAGGCGGGCAUGCCUGCUGUGUCUGGCAGCCUUGACACCCCCAGAUUCUGCUGGAAGAUGCUCGUGGCCUGAAAGCUCAUUUUGUAGUCGCUCUACCCUGGGAUGCAGCUUCUGCACUGGCAGGAUUAACGCAAACAGAAUCUGCUUGGCUCAUUCCUCGCCGGGCCUCAACAGGCCUGCAACGCCACUGUCUGCCAGGGAGAGCCACUCGGUGAUACUGUUAAUUAAAACCAUGACUCUGGGGGCAAGAAAAAAUUUUAAAACGCUGAAGUCAUCUUCCCUAAUAGAAAUCUUAUUUUGAAGGUGCUCACGGAGGUCAGGCUGACCAGAAAAACCCACAAGCCAUAAAUAAGCUCAAAUAGUUUUAUUUAAUUUACUUAACUCGGUGCCUGGAGUCCUCAUGGGGAGAGGUGCCUGGCAUCAACACAGGGUGGGGGUGGCCACCCUCAUCUCUAGCCCCUGGGUCCCAGAGCUGAGAGGAGGGAGAGAACUGAACUUUCUUGGAAGAAUGUGGAACUGCUGAGUAGAUGCUUUGGAAUUUGCUGACCCAGGCAUCUGGGAGUACAGCCUGACCGGCCAUCUCUGCGCCAAGCUAUCUAUAGUCCAAUGGCUAUUUUCAAUUGGAAAUUCAUUUUAAAGUGGUGGCAGUGACGGGGGAGUGGCUGUAUCUGUAAUCCAUUAUUUCACACAGAGAAUUCCCUUCUUUCAUUUUUUUCUGGCCAAAGUUGCUGCUUUGAACGUGGGUGGGUCUUGGAGCCCAAGACUGAGCUGGCUGCUUGGAGAAAAAUUGGAGGGAUUUGAAAAGGCCCGAGGGAGGGUGUCCUCUGAGUUGGGGGUGGCAGAAAACAUCUUAAAUGUGCAGGAAGUGGGAGAGCUCCCCGGGUACUCUGGUGCUGAGGAAGCACAGCUUAAAGAGGAAAUUUCCUUGAAAUCCACACAGACCUCCUUCCAGAAUGUUCUGGAAGGAAGCACAACUUCAAGAGGAAAUUUCCCUGAAAUGCACACAGACCUCCUUCCAGAAUAUUCUGGAAGGAAGCACAACUUAAAGAGGAAAUUUCCCUGAAAUGCACACAGACCUCUUUCCAGAAUGUUCUGGAAGGAAGCACAAGUUAAAGAGGAAAUUUCCCUGAAAUGCACACAGAUCUUCUUCCAGAAUGUUCUCUAAAUCCUCCUCCAAUUCAACUGUCAUCACCACAGAACCCACACCCUAUGAUAAAUGGCCAGAGCC